UUUUUUCCGCUCUCAGUUGCCUAAAGACUGAAGUGCAGGUAAAAGGUGUUUAAAGAGGACUUUAUCUCGACUGUAGCUGCGGAAAUCAAGAUUAUGUUCCUGUCAGAGAUUCAGACGUAGCGGAGAAUAAAUCCGGAACGAUCUCCGUUUGUGUAUAGGAUCUGCUGUGUCUUGGGACCGAUGCAGACGCCUCCUCAGAUCUUCUCGGUCAGUGCCUGCUCUUGGGUCAGCAGAUUUUGUCGCUUUCCAGUUUCAGCGUUUGUCAGUGGAUAAAAUAUUUAAACCGCCGUUCCUCAUCGGAAUCGCAAAUCUCUGAAGCUUCCCGAGGCUGUUCGGUUUUCCAGACGUGGAAUACCAUACGGAAGACCUGGAUUCAGUCAGUAAGAUGCAUGCUUGGAAUUUUAAAAUAGGGUUGUUAGGGUUUCUCACGGUGUAGGAGAUCGCUCGCGGCGUUGGAGGAGUGUGGGCUGGACCUGGGAAAAGAGAGGGGGCGUGGCCAGACGUGUACGUGUAGAACGCUACAUUUUAGAUAUAUAA
ensembl:lncRNA